rnacentral:misc_RNA from 1 species
UGCUAGAACGGUCCUAUUACAGCGGCAUCCUUUUUUAGAGGGCCGUGGGGCCUUUAAAAAAGAUACAGCGGCAAGAGCGACCCGAU